UAGGACUGGUCUGCCUCGGGUUGCUCUCUGUAGUGGAAACAAUUUGAAAAGACAGUGUUUUUGGAAAGAAAGACACAAAAGCCAGAAGCAGCCCAGGCUCCCUGGUGGUGUCUCAUAAUGAAAUUCACCUGGCAAAGGACAAAGAGUGUGAUGGGAGUUUGGUUUGGGACAUCUUUAUUUUAAUCAGCAAAGGGGCAGCGAUGGGGUCUGUAUUACCAGGCAAUCUUACUCCCAAGGACUUAUUCUCAGGAGUGUGAUGUCUGAUGGCAAAAGCAGCAGCAACUUCUUACAAUUCAGAGGCUGCUGUGUGGGGAGCCAGCUUGCCAUCGGACUUGGGAUGCAGCAGAUUUGAGGUCUAGAGGAUGGUUCUGGGACCACAGAGAUCGCACGCAACACAGACACCCUCAGUGGCACUGCUUGGUGACAGAAGACGUUCACAGACUCUUCUAGAUACAGAAGGUCAAUGGGCAAAUGGCAAAACACCAGAAAGGCCAAAGAAUGAAGGGGGCAUCAGCCUGGGAGGACUUUUGUUUUUCAUGAAGCUGUGUUUCUGGUAGUGAAAGCACAACAUUUAUGAUGUGUGUAGGACUAAGAUUAGUGUGGGAUUUUCAGAACUGGUGGAGUGCCCCACCUGACCUCUGUUGGAUAUGCAGAACGAGAAUAACGGCAUGUGCACACAGAUUCCAAAACAAACAUGGAGCAUCUCCUUCAAAACUGCCUCUGGUAAGAUUUUUCUGGAAACAUUCCAGGGGCAAAAUGCUUGCCUUGUGUUUCAUGUCCCAUGCAACAUGCACGAUGGAAUUAUUUAUUUGUUGCUGCUUUGCCUUUGUUUGUGCAAACUGACGCCGCAGGGACUUCUUUUGAGGGCAUUUUUCAGCCAAGAAGAUUAUCCCAUAUAAAUACAGUGAAAUAAAUAGAUUUAUCACUAAAAUGACUUCAGGCUGUUCUAUCUAUCUAUCUGUCUAUCUAUCUAAUAUCUGCCUGCCUUUGUA